UCAUGUAAAUUCCUGUGAUAACAGUAACGAUUUCUUCUCUAACUGGUUUAACAGGUGUGCGACUAUAACAGAGAAGCUGAUAGUGAUUCCUAAAACCUCCUAUGACAAAAGACCCCCUGGGACUUUGUCGAAGUUACGCUGAUUCCACUGUUUAUAGCAGGUAUUUGAAAGGAAUGGUACUCCCUGAUUCACUUCUCCCACUGAGAUUUUCCAAAGCAAACUUGCUUGUUCCCCCCGCCCUGGGAGAGUGGCCGGAGAGAAGAAUUGGGAUCACACAAGACAAAGAUUGUGGGUUGAGAUAAGGAAACAAACAGUAAUAGCAACAAUAUUAAUAACAAAAGUAUACCAAAAGAGAGAAUGGUUCACAUGCAAGAAGGUUUACUGCAGGGACUGGCCUGACCUGACAACAGCCACAUUUUUCCCAACUGGAAAGGAACGCCCUUCGUAUAAGAGAGACACAGUCCCUUUCCCUGCCCCUGGCAGUGACAUAAGGUGGUAUCAAAUACAGAAUGUCUUGCCCAUGCCCCUUUCCUGCUGAUCUGAGCCAGAACCAUGAUAUUUUGCAAUCUCCCUGGAUUUCUUUUUUAUAUGUUUUGCUGAAUUGCCCUUUAAAAUGAAAGGCUAAUACCACUUACUGGAGUAGGUGUGAAAAAGCAGGCAGGCACUUGUGUUAUCUAUGUAUGUCAUUUUGCUGAUAAAACUCAGAAAAGAUCUAGGACUUAUAUACUACCAGACUGAACUCCUAGGAGUAUUUACCUGACACAGAACAGAAGGAAUUGAAGCUCUAAGAAACACAGAAUAACAAAUGUACUGUGGUCAGGAGUGUUUCCCAAAUCCAAAGUUUCAGUGCAUUUGUAAUCAUCCUAUAUUAUUCUCCUCCUGAGUAUAAUAUUUCAGAUGUCAAGAUUUUUCAGUGAAUCUGCAGAAUUUGGUAGUAACACAUGAGCAGCAAUGUAAACGGUUUUUAAAUUAAGAAGAACAAAGUCUAUCAAAGUACUUAGACAUCUAAAUCCCUGUCAUGUCAAUGAAAAUUUGGUGCCUGGACUAGCUUGGACCAGUGGAAGUCCUGUGUAUUUCUGCUCCAGGAAUUGUAUAAGUACUUUAAGAAAACUUUGUUUGGAAAGAGCAUUGUGAAUUAUUCCCAUUAUCAAAAAGAUUUUGUAUGUGUAAUUCAAUAACUAUUUGAGAUUAUGUCAAAACUCAUUUAUGUUGAAAAUGUACCAGAGUAUAAAGAAAACAAAUUUACACUGAAGUUCAACUAAGUAAAAGUAACUUUCUUGUCUGAAACACAUUUUAUUUAUAAUAUUAAACCUUUUUUAAAACCCAGAACCCAUAAAUCAUGGGAAUAAAAAAGAGUUGUAUUUGGAUUUAUUUUUAAACAGUCUUACAAAACAUACAGUUUAGCAAGAAUCUGUAACUCAGGGACUAGAUAAGUGGAUUCAGACAACAUCUGUACAACUGAGUUUACAUCUUGGAGGCUGUACAUCAGACAGAAUAACAGGCAUAAAUUACAUUGUGUGUUCAUUGAGAUUGGUGAGAGGAAGAACUGGCGCUUCUCCUUUUCCCUAUGGCCAACUCAGCUCUAGAACUGGGAUCUGGUUUAAACACUGCCUCCCUCUAGCGUUCAUUUACAGCUAAACUUGUAAAUUGCAUGGUUGAAAAAAAAAUUUUUUUUUCAUGGCGAUACAUGAGAUUAAAUUCUUAGUAUUUUCUGAA